GAUUACGAUUCAUUCGAUUGGCAGGUCCAAUCGAAGGAAGUCGCUCCAGCAGCUUUAGUACUUAGUACUUAGUUAAGGCCCCAGCCCUUCGCCCGGUUCUUCUCCGGCUCCACCAGCAGCCUUUAUCAGCUGCUAUGGUUCCCUUCCCGCAAUGCGAAUCUAUAUCUCUUUGCGGCUACAGCCUAUUCUAAUAGGACCCAUAUUCAAUCUCUUAAGUGACUUCUGAACACUAGCUAGCUCUGGACCUACCUAUAUUAGCCAUGAGCGAUCACCAAGCGGAGUUGAAAGAAAAGAGACUUGACAUGCCAAAACUUCGCUCGCGAGCUCGGAACGAACGGAGCGGAAGGGAU
rnacentral:lncRNA from 1 species